rnacentral:lncRNA from 1 species
AAAAAAUGUUAAAAUGCUAAAAGUUUUUAAAAGAAAGAGUUUAAUGUCUGCUAUUUUAGAUUAAUUCUGCGAAUUGUUUUUGUCUGCAAAAACAUAAAACAGAGAGAUAAAGAGAAUCACAACUAAUUGAAUAAAAUGGAGGAUUGAAAUGGAGAAUGUGUCAAAGAGACAACAAUCCAACCAAAGAGCAGAAAAUGGUGCGUCUAAACACGGCUAAGGACUCAUAAGUGCACUAAUAUGUUAUAAUAUGCUACUAAGGACUAAAAGAGUGAUGUGCAGUGUAAACAAAUUUCUUAUCUAGAUUGAGAUUGAUAUUUAAUGCAUAUAUUCAAAUUUAAUCAAUAAAAGAUCACUGAUAAUAAUUGAACAAUGCCUGUGCCGGUUUUCGUUAAUUUUUCCGAAAAUCACUGAACUAUAAGACACGUGUCAAAUUACAUAACUGAUAACACUAUUACCUUAAAAAAUGAAAAAAAAAAAAUUAUUUAGAGAGGAAAAUUACCCAGAC